rnacentral:rRNA from 1 species
GCAAGUCGAGGGGUAACGAUGGUGCUUGCACCAGGCGACGACCGGCGAACGGGUGAGUAACGCGUACAUAACCUACCUACAAGUGGAGAAUAGCCCCGGGAAACUGGGAUUAAUACUCCAUAAUAUUACAAUAACUAAUUUGUAAUUAAAGCUCAGGCGCUUGUAGAUGGAUGUGCGUCCCAUUAGCUUGUUGGUGAGGUAAAGGCUCACCAAGGCAACGAUGGGUAGGGGGCGUGAGAGCGUGACC